rnacentral:rRNA from 1 species
UAGGGAAUCUUCGGCAAUGGGGGGAACCCUGACCGAGCAACGCCGCGUGAGUGAAGAAGGUUUUCGGAUCGUAAAGCUCUGUUGUUAAGGAAGAACGUGUGUGAGAGUGGAAAGUUCACACAGUGACGGUACUUAACCAGAAAGGGACGGCUAACUACGUGCCAGCAGCCGCGGUAAUACGUAGGUCCCGAGCGUUGUCCGGAUUUAUUGGGCGUAAAGCGAGCGCAGGCGGUUAGAUAAGUCUGAAGUGAAAGGCAGUGGCUCAACCAUUGUAGGCUUUGGAAACUGUUUAACUUGAGUGCAGAAGGGGAGAGUGGAAUUCCAUGUGUAGCGGUGAAAUGCGUAGAUAUAUAGAGGAACACCGGUGGCGAAAGCGGCUCUCUGGUCUGUAACUGACGCUGAGGCUCGAAAGCGUGGGGAGCGAACAGGAUUAGAUACCCUGGUAGUCCACGCCGUAAACGAUGAGUGCUAGGUGUUAGGUCCUUUCCGGGACUUAGUGCCGCAGCUAACGCAUUAAGCACUCCGCCUGGGGAGUACGACCGCAAGGUUG